UACGAAGGGGGCUAGCGUUGCUCGGAAUCACUGGGCGUAAAGGGUGCGUAGGCGGGUUUUUAAGUCAGAGGUGAAAUCCUGGAGCUCAACUCCAGAACUGCCUUUGAUACUGAAAGUCUUGAGUAUGGGAGAGGUGAGUGGAACUGCGAGUGUAGAGGUGAAAUUCGUAGAUAUUCGCAAGAACACCAGUGGCGAAGGCGGCUCACUGGCCCAUAACUGACGCUGAGGCACGAAAGCGUGGGAGCAACAGG
rnacentral:rRNA from 1 species